UCCGGGCUAGAAGCGACGCAUGCGCC
rnacentral:snRNA from 1 species